rnacentral:rRNA from 1 species
AGCGAACGCUGGCGGCGUGCCUAACACAUGCAAGUCGAACGUGAAAGGGAGCAAUCCCAAGUAAAGUGGCGUACGGGUGAGUAACACGUAGGUAAUCUACCCCAGAAUCUGGAAUAACCGGCCGAAAGGCUGGCUAAUACUGGAUAGAGCGACGGAAUCCGUAAUUGGGUUUUUCGGGAAAGGGAGCCUGUAAAAAGGCCUUCGUUCUGGGAUGAGCCUGCGUCCCAUCAGCUAGUUGGUGAGGUAAAAGCUUACCAAGGCAAUGACGGGUAGCUGGUAGGAGAGGACGAUCAGCCACACUGGAAGUGAAACACGGUCCAGACUCCUACGGGAGGCAGCAGUGGGGAAUCUUGAGCAAUGGACGAAAGUCUGACGCAGCAACGCCGCGUGAGUGAAGAAGGACUUCGGGUUGUAAAGCUCUGUCGAGUGGGACGAAAAUGCUUGGAGUUCACAGCUCCAGGAACUGACGGUACCACUAAAGGAAGCACCGGCUAACUCCGUG